GGUCACUUUGGUCGUGGUAUCAGCAGCAUCGAUAUCGUAAAAUUUGAACGGGGACUUUAUUCUCAUUCGAUUAAGUCGGAAGCUGCAAAAAGAUAUCCACCCGAUCGGAUGGCAUCGCAGCAAGGAAUUGCUUGAAUUCACUUGUUUUGUGAUUCCGCGUUCAUCGAAAGCCCGAGGAAGGCAAGGGACGCACGGAGGUCACACCGGAGACAUUCCUUAAGCCACUCCAAUUUCCCACAGUGAAGUUGUGACCAAUCCAAUAGAAAGGUAAGCUGUUGUUCGUAACUUAAAAAUUUGCAUGAUUAAAUAUAAUUGUUACUAUUAAGAAGCCUUAAGAUUCGCAACGGUAUUCAAAUACAUAUUUGCGCAGU